rnacentral:ncRNA from 1 species
AAGGCGGGAGAGAUCGGUUCCCGCCGACGCCGAAGGCGCAACCGCCCCGGAAACGCUCAGGCAAACGGACCGU